CAUCUCCCUAGAGGCAUUGUAGCUGUGAUUACUAUGCCAUGUGGGCAUCAGUAGGUCACAGAAAGGAGAGAGCCUUUGUCUAUACUCAGUAUGACUUGAACAUAUGAAUGAUUAGUAGCCUAACAAA